GAGUUUGAUCCUGGCUCAGAUUGAACGCUGGCGGCAGGCCUAACACAUGCAAGUCGAGCGGUAGAGAGAAGCUUGCUUCUCUUGAGAGCGGCGGACGGGUGAGUAAUGCCUAGGAAUCUGCCUGGUAGUGGGGGAUAACGCUCGGAAACGGACGCUAAUACCGCAUACGUCCUACGGGAGAAAGCAGGGGACCUUCGGGCCUUGCGCUAUCAGAUGAGCCUAGGUCGGAUUAGCUAGUUGGUGAGGUAAUGGCUCACCAAGGCGACGAUCCGUAACUGGUCUGAGAGGAUGAUCAGUCACACUGGAACUGAGACACGGUCCAGACUCCUACGGGAGGCAGCAGUGGGGAAUAUUGGACAAUGGGCGAAAGCCUGAUCCAGCCAUGCCGCGUGUGUGAAGAAGGUCUUCGGAUUGUAAAGCACUUUAAGUUGGGAGGAAGGGCAGUAAAUUAAUACUUUGCUGUUUUGACGUUACCGUACAGAAUAAGCACCGGCUAACUCUGUGCCAGCCGCC
rnacentral:rRNA from 1 species